AGGGAGGGAAGGAGGUAGGAGAGAGAGAGAAGGGAAGAGAAGGUGGAAGAGAGGGAGGAAGGAAGGACCAAGAAGGCUGUGUUUCUUUCCACCUUGAAGCUAAAAUACUCACGUCUGGCCAGGUUGCCAGAAAUGAGAGGCAGCAAUCCCACCUGCAUAUGGAAAACACAGCCAUGAGGUGACCUUGUUCGGGAUUCUACCCUAACCCACAGACAGAUUAGGACUAGACCGUCUAAUUCUCUGCCUAACACACUAAGCCAUUGCCAUUAUCUUGGCAGUGGCUUCCUGCACCCUGUAACCUGGGACGAGGAGCUGCUUGCUAAGCUUGACUGAACUUCUCCCUGGUGCUGCAGCAUUCCCACCUGCGCAUCCCUAACCCAACUACCUCACGUCCGUGGCUCUGGGCAGCAGGUGCCAAGCCUGUGCAGUGGACCCCGUGUCAUCCACACAGAACACAGUGACCUCACUGCUUCCCUCUGGUCCCUCUCCAGAUCCACACUUGUUGUUGUUUUUUUUAAUCAAAGCAUAUGAUUCCUAUGUUUGCCUUGAUCCUGGGAAGCAACCCUCCCAGUGUUCACUGCCCCUCAUGCUGAGAGGAUCCGAGAGGAAAUGUUUGGGCUGGGACCCCACGAGGGACCCCUCCAGAGUAAGUCCCACUAGAAAUCCCAGGAGUGUAGCAAAGCCCCUCAGAAACUAUCUUGUGGGACCUUGAACUUAUUCCCUCCGAGCUGCAGAGAGCUGACCAGGGGAGGAAGACAGCAUAGCCGCAUGUCCGUGCCUGCCUCUUCCUCUGGGCCCCAGAAAGAGGCCGCAGCAAAAGUCAAAUGUGAGGCAGCAAACCUGGCAGGAGACUAGACCAAGGUUCAUCCACAAUCCAUCAUCCCUCCCACUCGCCUUGAACCCAUCAGCGGCGACGUCUUGCCCAGGAACAAAAGGACUACCCAGAGAAGCCCUUUCAACCUCAGUCGUCCUUUGCCCCUUAACUUUUACCCCUUAAAUCAACUACAGCCAUUCCAUUUUCACCGGCACCUUUCCUGAAAGGCGGAACAAUGUGGUCACCUCCUUCCAGAAACUCCUCCUUUCUCUCUCAGCACACUGAGUGACAGAAGCUUGACCUGCCUUCUCGUGAAGUUAGAGGUAGAACUCUUUCUCCAGUCAACCUUUCAUGUGAUUAAACUUCCAGUUUGAACCAAAGAAUUGAGCUCAGAG